rnacentral:rRNA from 1 species
GAUGAACGCUGGCGGCGUGCCUAAUACAUGCCAGUCGAGCGAACGGACGAGAAGCUUGCUUCUCUGAUGUUAGCGGCGGACGGGUGAGUAACACGUGGAUAACCUACCUAUAAGACUGGGAUAACUUCGGGAAACCGGAGCUAAUACCGGAUGAUAUUUUGAACCGCAUGGUUCAAAAGUGAAAGACGGUCUUGCUGUCACUUAUAGAUGGAUCCGCGCUGCAUUAGCUAGUUGGUAAGGUAACGGCUUACCAAGGCAACGAUGCAUAGCCGACCUGAGAGGGUGAUCGGCCACACUGGAACUGAGACACGGUCCAGACUCCUACGGGAGGCAGCAGUAGGGAAUCUUACGCAAUGGGCGAAAGCCUGACGGAGCAACGCCGCGUGAGUGAUGAAGGUCUUUGGAUCGUAAAACUCUGUUAUUAGGGAAGAACAUAUGUGUAAGUAACUGUGCACAUCUUGACGGUACCUAAUCAGAAAGCCACGGCUAACUACGUG